ACAGUCCACAAGUACAUAUGGCAGGGCAAUGUGUGAGGGGAGUUGAAACAUUUGUAUUAUUGAGCUCAAGCUCUGAAAUUUUGAGUUAAAUUCUCUGUUUUCUUUCAAUCUCUAGAUGGAACAAUACAAGCCUCCCACAACUAGACUUGCCUUCCAAAGCAAUAAUAGGUAUGAUGUAUUUCUGAGUUUCAGGGGACCAGAUGUCAGAAAGACUCUGGUUGAUCAUCUUUAUGAAGCUCUCACCCAAGCAGGACUCAAUGUCUUCUUAGAUACUGACAAAUUGGAAAAGGGAGAAAUUAUUGGGUUGAGCUUGGACAGUGCAAUUGAGAGCAGUGCCAUACGCAUCCCCAUAUUUUCCAAAGGCUAUGCAGACUCAGCAUGGUGUCUCAAGGAGGCCUCUGUAAUGUCGAGGACUCCUGGCUUGAUCAUUCCUCUUUUUUAUCAUGUGGAUCCAACUAGUGUUAGAUAUCCUGAUAAUGCCUCCAGUCCCUAUUGCCGACAAUUUCUCAAACAUUCAGAUCGAUACCGAAGAGAGGAGAUUAAUGACUGGAAGCGUGCCCUUCGCCAGAUCUGUUCUUAUUCGGGCUGGUCCUUGGACUUAACUCAAGGCUACGAAGCUCGGCUUAUAAAGAUGAUGGUGAACGACCUGAGGAAGACAUUGAAGAGAGUGAAGAAAUAUGACGGUGGCCAAAAUGAAUGGGAAGAGGAAAUGGAGGAAGCAAAAACAGAUGAAAAAAUCCAGACAGUGAGAAAUGUGAAGAUGGGGAAGUCACAAAAGAAUGGUGGUGAGGAGACAAUCUUAUUGAACACAGCUAUGGAAAUAAAUAAGCAUGAAUUUCCUAUUCCCGGGUAUGUAAUUGAAUAUGUGCAUCCUCCUCAGCUAUUCAGUGAUGAGAACCCAAACGCUUGUUCCAUCAUGUAGAAGAUUGCAUGAUGUUUUAAUCAACCGCCAUGCCAGAUGUCAUGUCAAGUUUCUGUUAUGAAAAUCAUUUACGCAAAUUGAGGGAAACAUUACAAAAUAAUUCUCCUACCAAGCUCAUAUUUUUCUAGAAGAGCAGAGCCAUCAGUACAGAUCGAUUGGCAGCCUUAAGAAUUGAAAUAUUAUUGUGCAAAGAUGGAAAAAUUAUAGUGCCUCCAACUUGGUAGUGGCAUAAUAGAGUUUUGAGGUGGUGGCUGCUAGGGUAAGGUAACAUUAACCUUACAAUCCCAAGUCAUUCAUAAGUCUCCAUGUUCCUUGGAAAAGGACAUGUGAGAAAAAUAUUAAUUAUUUGCACUUUAUAGCUAUUUGUAAUUGCAUUUUGAAUAGGUGAACAUGAAUAAGGUAUAAAUAAAAAUUAAAAUGGACAAAAUAAACUUCUUCCCAUGUUCAUAUUGAGAAGAGUCACUCAGAAUAUGUAAAGACUAAGUGGCUUUGGAUUUGGCUCUCGUGAACAGUCACUUAAAGAGUUUCAUAUUAUUUUAUUAUGUCUAUUGGCUAUUUAUUCUCCAAGGCAUGUGUUUUUGCAAGUGGUUUUGGCCCUUAGUUUUGGGAAAAUAACUAUGGUUUUUCCUCUGUGAUUUGGCUAUAAAUUGGAGCCAAGACAUAGUUAUUUAAUCAUCAAUUGAUCAUAGUUUCUUUGAAGUUUCCAAUUAGUUCUGAGAUCAUUUGGAAAAGUGUGUUAUUGCGGUGUUCUCUCUUUUGAAGAAUUUACCCUUGUUCUUUGUUGGAGUUUUUUCCUAAAAGGGUCUCUCCAUGUGUGUCUCUUUUAGUAUGAUUGUUUUGAUAUUUAUGUUGAAUAGUGCAAUCACAUGUUCAUUUCAAAUUUAGUUUUAGAUUUAGUAAUCUUUUUUAAAUUUAUAAUCACAUAAGAAAGUAAAUAUUGCAAGCUUUGUUCACCUUGUUUCUCAACAUUUGGUAUUAGAGCUAAUGGUUUUGUUGAGAAGAUGACACCUUUCUCUUUAAGUAUUAAAGAUUUUUUGUUGCAGUAGAAGAAUUUUUUGUGUGGUUCUGCAGAUUUGGAAACUAUAGAUGGAAGAUAUUUUGGAGGAGAGAGAUCAAUGAUUGACAAUUUCACAUGAAAAGAAACUAGAGGAUUCUAAUUUGGUUGAUGAUGCUUGGAAGCAAUUGGAUAAGAAGGUAUGAGGAACCAUUUAGUUAU